rnacentral:lncRNA from 1 species
GUCGUUGGAUUUUUCAAUUGUUUUGAUAACGGAUUCAAUUGUUAUUUCAUUGUCCGCCAUUUUGUUUAUGUGCGAUACACGCUUUGCACAGUUGAAUAUUACUAGAUAUGCAGGAUUAUCAAUAAAAAGUUCAAGCGAUGCACUUACAUUGAAUUAGUUCAUAUAAUUACUAAUACUUUAACUAAUUUUCAUGAUGUUAUGCUGUCGGGAAACGUGGAAGUAGGCAGCAUUUUUCCCUGCUAAAAUUUCAUCGCCGCUU